rnacentral:rRNA from 1 species
GCCCACUGAUAAAAAUUAAAGGGCCGCAGUAUUUUGACUGUGCGAAGGUAGCAUAAUCACUAGUCUUUUAAUUGGAGGCUUGUAUGAAUGGUUGAAUGAGAUAUAUACUGUCUUUUUUAAAAUUAUAUAGAAUUUUAUUUUUUAAUUAAAAAGUUAAAAUGAAAUUAAAGGACGAGAAGACCCUAUAGAUCUUUAUUUUUGUUAUUUAUAAAUUAAAAAGAAUAUUAAAAUUUAUAAUUUAAUUAAAAAUUUUAUUGGGGUGAUAUUAAAAUUUAAAAAACUUUUAAAAUAUAAAAACAUUAAUAUAUGAAUAAAUGAUCCAGUUAUAUUGAUUAAAAAAUUAAGUUACCUUAGGGAUAACAGCGUAAUUUUUUUUUAGAGUUCAUAUCGACAAAAAAGAUUGCGACCUCGAUGUUGGAUUAAGAGUUAUUUUUAGGUGUAGAAGUUUAAAGUUUAGGUCUGUUCGACCUUUGAAUUCUUACAUGAUCUGAGUUCAAACCGGAGA